GAUGAACGCUGGCGGCGUGCCUAAUACAUGCCAGUCGAGCGAACGGACGAGAAGCUUGCUUUUCUGAUGUUAACGGCGGACGGGUGAGUAACACGUGGAUAACCUACCUAUAAGACUGGGAUAACUUCGGGAAACCGGAGCUAAUACUGGAUAAUAUUUUGAACCGCAUGGUUCAAAAGUGAAAGACGGUCUUGCUGUCACUUAUAGAUGGAUCCGCGCUGCAUUAGCUAGUUGGUAAGGUAACGGCUUACCAAGGCAACGAUGCAUAGCCGACCUGAGAGGGUGAUCGGCCACACUGGAACUGAGACACGGUCCAGACUCCUACGGGAGGCAGCAGUAGGGAAUCUUCCGCAAUGGGCGAAAGCCUGACGGAGCAACGCCGCGUGAGUGAUGAAGGUCUUCGGAUCGUAAAACUCUGUUAUUAGGGAAGAACAUAUGUGUAAGUAACUGUGCACAUCUUGACGGUACCUAAUCAGAAAGCCACGGCUAACUACGUG
rnacentral:rRNA from 1 species